rnacentral:rRNA from 1 species
AUACGGAGGGUGCAAGCGUUAAUCGGAAUUACUGGGCGUAAAGCGCGCGUAGGCGGUUUGCUCAGUCGGAUGUGAAAGCCCAGGGCUCAACCUUGGAACUGCAUACGAUACUGGCAAACUAGAGUGUGAGAGAGGAUAGUGGAAUUUCCGGUGUAGCGGUGAAAUGCGUAGAUAUCGGAAGGAACAUCAGUGGCGAAGGCGACUGUCUGGCUCAACACUGACGCUGAGGUGCGAAAGCGUGGGUAGCAAACAGGAUUAGAAACCCUAGUAGUCC